rnacentral:rRNA from 1 species
GAUGAACGCUAGCGGCAGGCUUAACACAUGCAAGUCGAGGGGUAUAGUUCUUCGGAACUAGAGACCGGCGCACGGGUGCGUAACGCGUAUGCAAUCUACCUUUUGCAGAGGGAUAGCCCCAGAGAAAUUUGGAUUAAUACCUCAUAGUAUAGCAGUUUCGCAUGAAACCACUAUUAAAGUUCCAACGGUGAAAGAUGAGCAUGCGUCCCAUUAGCUAGAUGGUAAGGUAACGGCUUACCAUGGCUACGAUGGGUAGGGGUCCUGAGAGGGAGAUCCCCCCACACUGGUACUGAGACACGGACCAGACUCCUACGGGAGGCAGCAGUGAGGAAUAUUGGUCAAUGGACGCAAGUCUGAACCAGCCAUGCCGCGUGCAGGAAGAAGCAUCUAUGGUGUGUAAACUGCUUUUGUACGGGAAGAAACACUCCUACGUGUAGGAGCUUGACGGUACCGUAGAAUAAGGAUCGGCUAACUCCGUGCCAGCAGCCG